AGAGUUUGAUCCUGGCUCAGGAUUAACGCUGGCGGCGUGCCUAAUGCAUGUAAGCCGUACGGUCCACCGCAAGGCGGACAGUGGCAGACGGGUGAGUAACACGUAAGAACCUACCCUCUAGUGGGGGAUAAUCCGCCGAAAGGCAGACUAAUACCGCAUACGUUCCGCAAGGAAGAAAGCUCCGGCGCUAGAGGAUGGGCUUGCGCCCGAUUAGCUAGUUGGUGAGGUAAUGGCCCACCAAGGCUGAGAUCGGUAGCUGGUCUGAGAGGACGACCAGCCACACUGGGACUGAGAUACGGCCCAGACUCCUACGGGAGGCAGCAGCAGGGGAUAUUGCGCAAUGGGUGAAAGCCUGACGCAGCAACGCCGCGUGGGGGAUGAAGGCCUUCGGGUCGUAAACCCUUUUUCUUAGGGAAGAUUAUGACGGUACCUGAGGAAUAAGUCUCGGCUAACUACGUGCCAGCAGCCGCGGUAAGACGUAGGAGGCAAGCGUUAUCCGGAAUUACUGGGCGUAAAGGGCGUGUAGGCGGCUCGUUAAGUCUUUGGUGAAAUCUCUCGGCUUAACUGAGAGGGUAUCAGAGAAACUGGCGGGCUUGAGGGCAGCAGAGGAGAGUGGAAUUCCCGGUGUAGUGGUGAUAUGCGUAGAUAUCGGGAGGAACACCUGUGGCGAAAGCGGCUCUCUGGGCUGUUCCUGACGCUGAGGCGCGAAAGCGUGGGGAGCAAACAGGAUUAGAUACCCUGGUAGUCCACGCCACAAACGAUGGACACUAGGUAUGGGGGGUAUCGACCCCCUCCGUGCCGAAGCUAACGCUUUAAGUGUCCCGCCUGGGGAUUACGGCCGCAAGGCUAAAACUCAAAGGAAUUGACGGGGGCCCGCACAAGCAGCGGAGCGUGUGGUUUAAUUCGAUUCAAAGCGAAGAACCUUACCAAGACUUGACAUGUACAGGAAAGGCAAGGAAACUUGUCCCCUCUUCGGAGUCUGUACACAGAUGCUGCAUGGCUGUCGUCAGCUCGUGCCGUGAGGUGUUGGGUUAAGUCCCGCAACGAGCGCAACCCUCGUCGUCAGUUGUAUUUUCUGGCGAGACUGCUCCGCAAAACGGGGAGGAAGGUGGGGAUGACGUCAAGUCAGCACGGCUCUUACGUCUUGGGCUACACACACGCUACAAUGGGUGGUACAGAGGGAUGCCAAGGGGCGACCCGGAGCUAAUCCCAAAAAGCCAUCCUCAAUUCGGAUUGCAGGCUGAAACCCGCCUGCAUGAAGCCGGAGUUGCUAGUAAACGCAGAUCAGCAGGCUGCGUUGAAUACGUUCUCGGGCCUUGUACACACCGCCCGUCACGUCAUGGAAGUUGGAAACACCUGAAGUCGAUGGGCCAACCCGCAAGGGAAGCAGUCGCCUAGGGUGGGGCUAGUAACUGGGACGAAGUCGUAACAAGGUA
rnacentral:rRNA from 1 species